GGGGGGCUGUCACCGCCGCGUCAGGCGCCGCGGGACGGGCGUGUGCCUAGCUACACCUGCAGGCAAGUGGAAGAUGCUGAAGGGUGAAGACCUGCCAAGGGAGGUAGGUUUGUUCUUAUCCCUCUUGCUGGUUGUGAAGGGCUCUUGGUGUGACCUAAGCCCCGAAGUACACCUGGGCUCAUUUCUCAGAGACCCAGCGGGGUUACGUCUGAAUGGGGUCUGGCUGGGAUGGCAUUGAUGGUCUCCAUCACGUGUAUGGUGCUGUCUUUUUGUUUUGUGACCAAAACAGUGUUGAUAACACAUUGAUGUUUUGGCUGUUGCUGAACAGUGCUUGCGUGGCAUCAAGGCCUUCUCUGUUUCUCACACAGCCCCUGCAGCGAGGAGCCGGGGCUGGGCGAGAGCCUGGAUGGGGACAGCUGUGCCAAACAGACCGAAGGGUUAUUCCACGCCAGAUAACCUCAUCCUCAGCAAUAAGGCGGGGUGGCAUAGUGGUGGUCUGUCUAAGAUAGUGGGCUGCUGGUGGGAGGUAGUGACUGCAUCACUUGUUCUUACUUUUGUUAGUUUCCUUUCUUCCCUUAAUAAACUAUCUUUAUCUCACCUCAUGCAUUUUUUUCUCACAAAUUCUCUUCUUCCAUGCCACUGGAAUGAGCAAGCAGCUGCCAGGUGCUUACUUUCUGGCCAGGGUCAACCCGCCGUGAUACUAAAGUAGAACCCAGCAAUUAACAGGUAUCUAAAAUGGAAAAUCAAGGAAGUAUCUGUGAGCAAGCAGUGGAGUUAAGUGCUGAUUUCUUUUUAAAGAGAAACAUAAUUAAACUUGUUUCUCUGUAGUCCAGAAGAAACUCUCUUAAUGAAAUUUCACCUUCUAUCAUGGUCCUGGGUUCUGGAAGACCUUAUAGUACGAGCAUAGUCUUCCACGGACUUUCACAAUAGUUUAAUAAAGCUGUUUUCCCCUGCUAGGCUAGCCUUGAAGUCAGGUACAAAAGUUGCAUUAUUGGGGGCUGAUUCAUGUAACUUGCAUGUCUGUUCAGUGCAAUAGUUACUAAGUCUCAGUUAUUAGUAUUAUUGUUAAGUAUGACCUCUUAGGUUUCUGCAUCAGCAGACAUCUUAAAUUCUACCAAGGUUCACCUCUGAUUUGUGCAUGUUGUAGGGUUUAGCAUUCUACUAGUAGGUGUGCAUGGUUUCUCAUGAAAAGCCCAGACACCCUGCCAUGGAAGUGAUUGUCUACUGAAGAAGAACUGAAAAUAAUUUGAUCGCAGAAAAGCUAGUCAUCCACAGAUGAGUAUGUAACUGCCAUGUUUAUACUACUCUAUAGAACUGCUUUAAGUUGUGUUAGAAAACCUAAUCAGAAUUGGUGCCAUCUAAGGGAUGGUGAAAUAUUUACAAAUAUGCAGUAUUAUGUUGCCUUAUAUAAUUUCACAAAACACUUCCAAAUUUAAAAAACUACAGCAUAUUGCCUUUCCACCAAACCAGGCUGCUAGCUGCAGCUGGGCAGAACUUGUAGUUUAAGGACAAAUGGAUUUUUGAUGCUUUUGUGUAGUUGCAGUCAUCUUGGCAAAACCUGUAAUUUGCAGCUUGGCUAUUAUGGGUAGGUUGGUACCCAGUGCCUGUCGUUUCCUUUGUGGUGAACGAGCGGGGACAACAUUCAAGAGGAAAAGUUUCUUCUUGGGGUGAGGGCCUCGUGGGGAGAAUCUGGCAGAGUAGCUGGCAUGUACAGCUUUUGUCUAGCAGCUGCCAGCGCGGGAGCCGCCGGCAGGGCCUCAGCUCCCAGACAGUAGCACUGAACAAUGUCAUGGGGCUCAGGGCUGGCCUCUGAACUGGAGAAGGACUGGGCUGGCACUGCCAUGCGGGGCAGCUGCAGAGCACUCUGGGCAACAGCACCCUUCAGCACGAGACCCGGAAGAGUUUGCUGCCUGAGAAGUAAAAGAGUUCCUCUCAAACGUGCUGCUUAACAUACCGGGUGAAGGUUGCACACCGGAACACAGCAGCAGGAAGGGCUGCAGAUCAGGAACUGUGGUGUUGCCUUUAGCAAAUCCCACCAUGCUCCAGGGGCUGCGCACCCGCUCAUGGGUAGGCUCCGGACUGUUUAGAUUAUAACCCGUAAAAAACUAGAUGCUACAUACUAGCAGGUCAUGUAGGAGAAGAAACACGUUUUUUUCAUGGUUACUUCGAGUGACUGAAGGAGCACAUCACUCUCUUAAACUGGGAUGGAAGAGACGUGUUUAAAAAAAGGCGCACACUUUGUAUGGGGAAAUUUUCUUUGUUUUUAAUUUACAGCAGAAAGAAUAUAAAGCAUUCAGAAAACAUUUUCCAUAUUUUAAGGGCAAUUCAAAACAUUUUGCAUGGUUCCAGCAGCUGAGUUCUUCAACAGAUCCAUUGAUUCAGUGAUGCUUUACAUGCACGGUUACAAAAAUAAAACUUACAAAAGAGAAGACAUCUAUACUAGUUUUACAUGCAAGUCUUGGGGACCCCCCAUUGGGCACCAGCUAUUGUGUGGAACUGCCAUAAGCGUGCAACCAGAGAGGGGGUUCAUGUUAUAUUCUGUAUUUCUUUCACACAGUAUUACUGCUGUCGAAUGUGUUUCACAAAGGAGCAAUUCCAUUAUCAGAAGACAGAAGAUCUGGCUCCUGGCACUUGGGAACGCGAAUUUUCCCGGAAAGCUGCACUUACUUAUCUUCCAUGAAAAUGUAAGUUCCACAACCAAGAAAAGGGUGAGCAGAAUCACUUCACUGCAGGGGGAGUCUUUCUAACUCCCCAGUGAUACACUGAAGGGUUAUGACCCGACACAACAAAGCACUCAGGAGCUGUACUUAGCUUCAAGCACGCAAGUAGUUCUGUUGCGCCCGUGGAAUUGCUUGCAUGUUUAACAGCAAGUACAUGCUUAAACGUUUGGCUGAAGCAGGAUCUAGAUUAGUAGAUACACCACCAGGCCCAUGGAUCUGGAAGAGUAAUUUGAAAUAGCUCUGUAUAUUACUGAAUCUUUUUCUGUAAAGACAGGGAGUUAAAACAUUUCCACUGAGGUCACUACUCUUGCUAGGAAAAGGACGAUUCUAUAUUGUCACGUAUUGGUUAAUGGAAGCAACGUUUCCGUUUCAAAACGUCAGAGUUCUUCCAGUAUUAAUACAGAGCAUUUCCAAUUCAUUCCAAAGGAGAUUCUUCAGCAUCUCCUGUUCUGUUUUUGCACGAGAGGAAAAUUUAGCGAUUAAGGUCCCAAUUCCAUACAGUAAAUUGAGGCUAUGAGGCUGCCCACAGGCACAGUGUGAGCACCAGGCCAUUCAUUUUGCUUUUUUCCCUUUUUUUAAAUUGAAUCAGGUCAUAAAGCAGCAGUUCAGAAAUGUACAAGAGAAUUCUGAUAAUGAGCUAUAGCACAUCUACUGUAAUUCAAUGCUGGCAGUGAAAAGAAGUAAUUAAAAACAGGUACAAUUAUAGAAAAGGCACCAAGAGCACUGACCCCAGUUUUUUUGCCACAAUCUUUGUUUUUACUCUUCUUUUAAAGACACCAGUUUAAAAGCUUCUUACGUGUGAAUAUUUUUAGGCUUCACAACAAGCCUUGCGUUUAAACACUGCAGUUGGUGGCCGGGAUCAAGCAAGAACAACUAUUCCAAAACUAACUAUCUCAAAUUUACACCAGUCCAUUCAGAAAUUUUAAACUGCCAUGAGCAAAACAAACACACAGGAGCAGUUUCUGAUCUCAGACACACGUACAUAACCCACAGUAACAACAUGGACUUCAAGAGUUUCUUCCCUUACAUUCCUGUGUAAUAAAGAUCAGAACCUGGUUCCCAUUGUCAAGAAUUUGUGACAGUUUUAAAUUAGUAGUUCAAUUUAAAAAAACCUAAUUUCUUUGGCUCCUCACUAUGUGGAAAUAGCAAUAUACCAUGACACCCCUACAAGAUCAGUUUGCAUCUUUUUUUAAGUUUUACUUAAUUUUUUUUUAAUUUUUUGUGCAAUUUUUAUUACAUUUUCUGACUUCCAGCAGGAGAUAUGAAAAUGUGAAACAUAUUUUCUACUUUUGUACUAUUUUUUUUUUUUUUUUCCAUUUUAUGUUCAUUCUAAGUGUUCUUUAUUGGAGUGAGUGUAUGGUGUUAAGCUAGAUACGGUUUUUGUACUCUUAUGAUUAUCUGCUUUGCAAAAGUAACUUAAUUUUCUUAAGCAAUAUUAGCAUUCACAUUACUUGGCACCAUUGGCAAAAAAAAAGUAAAAAAAAGACGGGGAAAAAAAAA